rnacentral:rRNA from 1 species
CCAGCAGCUGCGGUAAUUCCAGCUCCAAUAGCGUAUAUUAAAGUUGUUGCAGUUAAAACGCUCGUAGUCUGAUGUAAUGGGGACUGGUGUGGGGAGCAGCGAUGCUCUGUGCAGCGGUCCUCAUCAGGGGGCCAGCAAUGGCCCAGUUUACUUUGAGGAAAUUAGAGUGUUCAAAGCAGGCGAUUGCUUGAAUACUGCAGCAUGGAAUAAUGGAAUAGGACUCGCGUCUUAUUUUGUUGGUUUGGAGAUGUGAGUAAUGAUGAAUAGGGACAGUUGGGGGCAUUGGUAUUCAGUAGUCAGAGGUGAAAUUCUUGGAUUUACUGAAGACUAACUAGUGCGAAAGCAUUUGC